CCUACGGGUGGCAGCAGUGAGGAAUAUUGGUCAAUGGCCGGGAGGCUGAACCAGCCAAGCCGCGUGAAGGAUGAAUGCGCUAAGCGUCGCAAACCUCUUUUACCGGGGGACAAAAUGCCCGACUCGUCCGAUCCUGUAGGUACCCGGUGAAAAAGCAUCGGCUAACUCCGUGCCAGCAGCCGCGGUAAUACGGAGGAUGCGAGCGUUAUCCGGAUUCAUUGGGUUUAAAGGGUGCGCAGGCGGGCCUUUAAGCCGGCGGUGAAAUUGGGGGGCUCAACCCAGCAGAGCCGUUGGAACUGGGGGUCUUGAGUGCGGCGGAGGUGUGCGGAAUGCGCGGUGUAGCGGUGAAAUGCUUAGAUAUCGCGCAGAACUCCGAUUGCGAAGGCAGUGUGCCGUGCUGCAACUGACGCUGAGGCACGAAAGUGUGGGGAUCGAACAGGAUUAGAUACCCGUGUAGUC
rnacentral:rRNA from 1 species